rnacentral:rRNA from 1 species
AGGGCACCACCAGGAGUGGAGCCUGCGGCUUAAUUUGACUCAACACGGGAAAUCUCACCAGGCCCGGACACUGGAAGGAUUGACAGAUUGAGAGCUCUUUCUCGAUUCGGUGGGUGGUGGUGCAUGGCCGUUCUUAGUUGGUGGAGUGAUUUGUCUGGUUAAUUCCGAUAACGAACGAGACUCUGUCCUGCUAAAUAGUUCCCGCGUCCUUUGUUGCGCGGGAAAUUCUUCUUAGAGGGACUGGCGGCGUCUAGCCGCACGAGAUUGAGCAAUAACAGGUCUGCGAUGCCCUUAGAUGUUCUGGGCCGCACGCGCGCUACACUGAAGGGAUCAGCGUGUCUUCCCCUCCCGAGAGGGACGGGUAACCCGCUGAACCCCCUUCGUGGUAGGGAUCGGGGCUUGCAAUUAUUCCCCGUGAACCAGGAAUUCCCAGUAAGCGCAAGUCAUAAGCUUGCGUUGAUUGCGUCCCUGCCCUUUGUACACACCGCCCGUCGCUACUAUCGAUUGAACGUUUUAGUG